AGACGGCUUUCUGAAGGAGCUCCGCACCUUCACUCUACCACCUACCGGGCCCGUCUCUCCACCUUUCCCCCAUUGCCAAGACGUCGAGACACGUUCACCACCCUCCCACACUUCCCAUGUCAUGAUAACCUCUUUGGCUGCUGCUUCUGCUGCUUGUGCUCCCGGAUCACAGGAGGAGACGGUGAGGUGAGCGGGGGGAGGGAGGGGGCCACAGCGCCCCAGCGCGCGGCCUCACAGGGCCCAGUGCACCCCCCACUCUCCCUCUCUCCUUGUGGGAGAAAGCCAGGCGGUCCCGCCCCCGCCCUAUCCCCAGCCGAAUGCCGAGCCGCCCCUCUGGUGGCCACAGGGCCAAGCACCGGCGACGCGCGGGGGCCAGAGCGAUGCACGGCGACUGAUGUCGGCGGUCAGGUCGUGGAUGGCGCGGCGCCGGAGCGGCCAGCGACCGCGAGCACGCUUGUGCCGCCGACAUGACAAGCCGAGUGCCGGCGUGGCUCGAAGGCAUCUGUCACCCGGCCCUCGCUGCCCACUGGUGGAGGGAGCCUGCGCCACCGCGAGGGGGGUGCACCGGGGGCGGUGGCCGGCAUGACGGGAGCGGCUGUGAGGCUGCCUGCGGAGUGGGGUGUGGGUGGAGUCCGCUGCCGAGGCCGUGCUCUCAGAUGGCUGAGCCGGCGCACUGCUGCACCGGCGUGCGCCUAGGGCUGCGCCGCGCCACGCGACGGGUGGCCUGUGGCAGCGCCGGGGAGGCACGAGGGCGGAGGUGGACCUCGAGCUGCUUGGCAGACGAGAGGACAAGUCACGUAAGCAACAGAGCAAGAGCUAUUCGCAACAUCCGUGAUUCUUGUCAUAUUUCCUUCGUGAAAAAGCUGUGUUCUGCUCUCGCUCAUCUAAACCCUUCCUCUCUUGCCUCGUCUCGUGAUUAGCUUCCCUACUUUCUUACACACUUUCCUUUUUCCACCCUUUCUCGCCGCCCCACCCUCACUGACGUGCCUACUAACAGACGAUAUCGACAUUCAUACAAGCCAACAAAUUUAUAAUGCUAACGGCGCGCCUUGGCGAGGGCGUGCUGGCGACCAACUCUCGCUCGCUCGCUGACUCUCGGCACCCUCGCUCCUGAUUUCCUGCUCUGCGCCGGCAAGCGAGUGGGCACGAGUCCCUGCGGGCACCAUACUUAUUCCUUCCUCUGUGUACUCCAUUCAUUCACGUCCGCACGCAUUCCUCGCGACACGGCGGUGCGCCGAGGUCGGGGGGACGAUGUGGCCUGCCCCCCUCGCUGCCCAGUGGCGGCGCGCUCUUUGCCCUGCCUGUGAGUGCGCCUUCCUUCUGCCGUAUGGGCCGCGGACGGGCGACAGUGACCGCACGGCCCCUUGUCUCUCGUUAUGUCUUCUGUCCAUGCGCCGAGAAGGUAGGUCUCGCCCCCCGGGCCCCCCUGCAUGUCCCCACCCGGUGGCACCGUACGCUGGAAGGACGUGUUGCACCGCACUCUCGCCGGUGCGCACGCACAGGCGUAUGCGCGUGCCUGUGCUCUUGUAUGACAGACGCGCUCGACUCCUGCCGGCAUGGCCUCGGUGUAGGCGGCCCGACCGCACGCACACACGCCGGGG
rnacentral:misc_RNA from 1 species